AUUCAGAUGACGGGUCUCAAACAGGACGAAAUACGCAUUGUCCUGGAU
rnacentral:hammerhead_ribozyme from 1 species